rnacentral:lncRNA from 1 species
ACAAGGGGGAAAAGGAAGAAAUGGUUGCUGACCAAGAGCUGGCUGGGCUAAGGGCGGGAGAGGGGGGAGGGGGCUGAGGCAGCAGUGACCUGAACUGAAGGGGACCGGGCUUGGCCUAGAUGCCCCCCAGGGGGCACAGCCCUCACCAGCCUAGCUACUACUGUGGAAACCCUGCUCUCUGCAGCACGGUGACCUACCAGGGUGGAGGGCACUGAACACUGGAGGAAGAGGGCAGAGGCCUCCUCUCUGUUCCUCGACCCUGCAGACUCAGCCUCCCCAGCCUGCCACCAGAAGCUGAGGCCGGUGUGGAAGCUGGGAACUGACCCCUCUGCUGCCACCAGCAUGUCAAAGCCCUCCCUCCACUCCCCAGUGGGUCUGAGAUGAGUGGGUAGUAUCUCAGUGCCCUGGUAAGAAUAGACAAUAACAACAAGGAUAUUGGGAAGAGAUAUUUUAAAUUCAUCAAUUGCUCAAUCAAGUACUUUUCUUUCUCUUCCCAGCUAUAAAUCUAGAAGGGGUAGAAAAUGGUGAAAAGAAAAAAAAGAAAGAAAGAAAACCGAUCCACAGAGAGAAAGGCAGAGCUCGCUGAGGCUCCAGCUGGAAAGACGAGCCGGCAGUGUGGGGCUGACCCCACAGGAGGCUGGCCACUCUAGCCUGGGGCUUCUCACUCAGACUAACCUCGUGCGGGAAAAACUGGGGGCUCUUUAUUAAUUAAGCAAUUUCAAGAAUUUUUUUUAAAAAAAGAAAAUGUAUUUUUUUCUUCUUGACUGCCUUCCCUUCCAACAUUUUCCCUUCUAGCCCUGUCGUUGCCAUCCGUUUUAAUCCACAAACUAAUUGUAAUCCCAUUAAAGCAGAUAUAAUUUUAUUACUAUUCACGGUUCAUCAAGCUAAUAAUAAUAACUGUUACUGCCAAACUGAAAAAUAAAAGCGGCAAAUAAUAUUUCUGAUGUUUAGAAUAAACUGUAAACAAAAGCAAGCGGACCUGCGAGGGUGACCCAUCAGGUCCACGAGCAGUCCCUCAGGCUCCCCCAGCUCCGCCCACGCUGGUCAGUGACUUCCCCGCCAGCUGCGGCUUCGCUCCAGAGACCGGGUCAGCGCUACCAAGGACAGACCCUCGGGGAAGGGGACAUGAGUGGGCCGCAACAAGGGGGCGUGCCGAGAAUGAUCAGAACAACUCCGGGUCUCUGGUCUUGAAGCUAAAGCGCACGGACUCGCCUGCACCGAAAUCCCGAGCGGGGCGCCGCUCUGAGUUCCCGCGGUGCGGGAUGCGCGGUCCGCACUCGGGGCCACGCUUAGUUCGGCGUUAGCAGGAUACCAAAGGCACUUGUUAAAGCGCAUGCAUCCCCUGCAAACCCAUUCUCGCCCUGACACUUCAAGGCUUUAUAUAGAAACAGGAUUUUCUCGUCUUACACUAGCAGUUCCCAUUAGCGCUCCCCGGGCGCACACUGCUCUCUAAUCCGCGGGCCGGACGCGCCCUGGCCCCCUCCCCCAGCCGCACAGUCGUUCUGUCCCUGCAGAAAGCGCCACCGAGUCUCAGACGCUGAACGUCUUAACGAGUCCAUUCUUUUGAAUGUCGUCCCCCACUCAGCCCCAGUGGGACCGCCUCCCCCCGCACCCCCCCAGCAUUGUGCCACAACCCCAGACUGGCGUCCCGGAGCUCCGGGCGCCCCUCGACCGCCACCGGCAUCACCUGGGCCGCUACGCCGCAGUGCCUGGCCUGCUGUCCCCGAGCCCGGAGCUUCCCGCGCCUGCCCGGGAUCACUUAACCAAGGCUGGUCUUCGCGUGGCACCUAGGUCGACCCUGCAAAGGAGCACAGACCAAGCAUAGCUCAGCCUUCUCCUGCGUCUGGGUCCCAGCAGACCCGUGUCCUCGGGUCUUCCAGACCCAUCUCGGACAGGGCCGGCUUAAAAUGACCCUCCUCUUCUUUUUCUUCUACCCCUCCCAUCGCGGAAGUCUGCUCCCGGGCGAAAUCGGAGACAAUUUCAACUCUGAGAGGAGCAACCCAGCAAGCGAAAUAAACUGUACACCACCAUGCACGUGCGACCAAAAUCUCUCGGCCCUCCUCCAUUUCGAAUACUUCUCUCCUUAUUUCCGAAAUACGCAUUGUUUUAAUACUUCAUCUCAGUUCCAAUAGAAUGGAGAUAUUCUUAACUGUGAACUUUGCAGACAAUCAAAACCUUUUUUAAAGCCAUUCCACCGUGACAACAAAGCGAUUAAGAUGUUUUCUAUUUCGUAAAUACCAUUUAAAAUUGCUAUAUUUUAUGCUCUGGGUUCUACACUGUCUUAUUUGCACACUAUUUUGUGUCUGAUUUAAUCUAUAACCGAAAACAUAAUGUAUUAAGUGAAUACAUAUUUGCUCAGCUGAUAAGCUUUUUUUAAUAUUUAUUCGGAGAAUUUUGCAUUGUAAAUAAACGGGACUACACAAAGA